AAACACCAGUGAUAUUGACUGUUCACCAUUUUGAGGUUCAGGUCGUAUGGUUCAUGGUUGUAUGGCCUAGCUCAAACCAUUGUUCCAACUUCAGUCAUCAUAUCAUGACCUUAUGGAGUUCAUGUUUUGAUUUGGCUGCUGCAGUACCAUGAUGGCAAGAUGCGUCAAGGUUUGUGAUAGUGGUCAAGGCAUUUGCAAGGGUACUUGUGAGCGAAGCAGCAAGGGUGUUGUUAUGUUAACACAAGUUGGCGGCUAACUUCAACUUUUACUUCACCAUUCCGCUUCUGUUUCGAUAGGAACAACUGUUGGUUUUGACGGCGUGCAUCAUCUAUAUGUGUUAUAUGAGAUGCUUUGGAUUUUUGCUUGGGAUGCUUUGCCGGUGAUUUUUGCUUCUGUUGUGAAAAUGCAGGUUUCCGUGUUGCUUUGGUCAUUGCAAUUUGUAUACAAAGGAUAGGAAGAUCGUGCAUUGGUGGUGGUUGAACCAUGGUAGUGAGCUGGUCUGUCUACUGAUAGUCAUGUUGCUGUGCAGGUUUAAGAGAAUGUGGAUCAAAGGAGAAAUUGAACAUAUCAUCUCUGACAGAACUUUAGUCACGGAAGUUUUCUGCAUAUUCUGAGAUUGGAGAAUUUAAAUUGAUAUUUCUGGCUGGAAAAUUGAUGUUUCUGCUAUAACUUGUGUUUUGGCCAAUGUCAAGAAGAUCAGACGGGGUCUUGUCUACAAGGUUAUUUAGCGAGAGUCCCGUUGUGCCUGAUGAAGAAGGAAGCGUGUUCUCACGAGGUUGAUCCCAAUUAUAUUGCAUACCAAUAUUAGCACUUAUGUUACUAGUCGGGAAUGUAUCCAAAAGCUCUUCAGUGUUGUUUUACCACAUGUAACAGUACCUUUGGUGUAAUUUGGAUAUGGACAUGGGUUUAUUUUAGGG